rnacentral:rRNA from 1 species
UACGGAGGGUGCAAGCGUUAUCCGGAUUCACUGGGUUUAAAGGGCGCGUAGGCGGGCUCGUAAGUCAGGGGUGAAAUCCCACGGCCCAACCGUGGAAGUGCCUCUGAUACUGCGGGCCUCGAGGGGGAUAGGGGCGUGCGGAACUUCCGGUGGAGCGGUGAAAUGCGUAGAUAUCGGAAGGAACACCGGUGGCGAAGGCGGCCAUCUGGACCGCAACUGACGCUGAGGCGCGAAAGCGUGGGGAGCAAACAGG